rnacentral:rRNA from 1 species
UGACCGCUGGCGGCGUGCCUAAUACAUGCAAGUCGAGCGAACGGACGAGAAGCUUGCUUCUCUGAUGUUAGCGGCGGACGGGUGAGUAACACGUGGAUAACCUACCUAUAAGACUGGGAUAACUUCGGGAAACCGGAGCUAAUACCGGAUAAUAUUUUGAACCGCAUGGUUCAAAAGUGAAAGACGGUCUUGCUGUCACUUAUAGAUGGAUCCGCGCUGCAUUAGCUAGUUGGUAAGGUAACGGCUUACCAAGGCAACGAUGCAUAGCCGACCUGAGAGGGGGAGCGGCAACACGGAAAGGGAGACCCGGCCAAGAAUCGUGGGGGGGGAGAGGGAAGGGAUCCUGCGGAAAGGGGGAAAAGCGGAAGGGGGCAACGCGGGGGGAUGGAGAAGGGUGUAGGGAUCGAAAAACUUUUUAAUGAGGAAAAAAAAUAUGUGAAAGAAACUGGGAAAACCUGGACGGUACCAAAUAAGAAAGCCCCGGCAAACUAGGUG